AGAUUGAACGCUGGCGGCAGGCCUAACACAUGCAAGUCGAGCGGCAGCACGGGUACUUGUACCUGGUGGCGAGCGGCGGACGGGUGAGUAAUGCCUAGGAAUCUGCCUGGUAGUGGGGGAUAACGCUCGGAAACGGACGCUAAUACCGCAUACGUCCUAAGGGAGAAAGCAGGGGACCUUCGGGCCUUGCGCUAUCGAGAUGAGCCUAGGCGAUUAGCUAGUUGGUAGAGGUAAUGGCUCACCGAAGGCGACG
rnacentral:rRNA from 1 species